CAGGGUCCCCCCGGCCAUCCCGGUAACGAUGGAUUGGUCAGCUACGCGGGACCAAAGGGAGAGAAAGGCGAGCAAGGUCCUGCAGGCCCACCCGGACCAAAGGGAGACCCUGGCGAUACUGGACGAGCGGGUGAGAAAGGGCAGGCAGGAGCUGACGGGGCUCCUGGGAUACCAGGACUACCCGGCCCCCCCGGACCCCCCGGGCCAGGCUAUGGGUU